rnacentral:rRNA from 1 species
GAUGAACGCUGGCGGCGUGCCUAAUACAUGCAAGUCGAACGAGGUGCUUUGUAGCAAUACGAAGUAUCCUAGUGGCGAACGGGUGAGUAACGCGUUGGUGACCUACCCCAAAGUGUGGGAUAACAGUCCGAAAGGAUUGCUAAUACCGCAUGUGGUCUCUGGAUUUAGAAACCGGUGACUAAAGGAGCAAUUCGCUUUGGGAGGGACCUGCGUCCCAUCAGCUAGUUGGUGAGGUAACGGCUCACCAAGGCGACGACGGGUAGGGGACCUGAGAGGGUGACCCCCCACAAUGGAACUGAAACACGGUCCAUACACCUACGGGUGGCAG